rfam:Glarea lozoyensis ATCC 20868 chromosome Tnknown GLAREA8, whole genome shotgun sequence.
GUUACGGUGCCGGAGUGGUCAAAAGGGCAAGUCUAAGACAUACUUGAUUUUGUCGGUUCGAAUCCGACUCGUAGCG